CGGGACGGGUGAGUAAUGUCUGGGAAACUGCCUGAUGGAGGGGGGUAACUACUGGAAACGGUAGCUAAUACCGCAUAACGUCGCAAGACCGAAGAGGGGGACCUUCGGGCCUCUUGCCAUCGGAUGUGCCCAGAUGGGAUUAGCUAGUAGGUGGGGUAACGGCUCACCUAGGCGACGAUCCCUAGCUGGUCUGAGAGGAUGACCAGCCACACUGGAACUGAGACACGGUCCAG
rnacentral:rRNA from 1 species